rnacentral:rRNA from 1 species
AUUGAACGCUGGCGGCAGGCUUAACACAUGCAAGUCGAGCGAGCGGCGGACGUGUGAGUAAUGUCUGUGCAACUGCCUGAUGGAGGGGGUUCACUACUGGAACCGGUAGCUAAUACCGCAUACCAUCAGAUGUGCCCAGGUGGGAUUAGCUAGUAGGUGGGGUAAUGGCUCACCUAGGCGACGAUCCAUAGCUGGUCUGAGAGGAUGACCAGGCAAACUGGAACUGAGACACGGUCCAGACUCCUACGGGAGGCAGCAGUGGGGAAUAUUGCACAAUGGGCGAAAGCCUGAUGCAGCCAUGCCGCGUGUGUGAAGAAGGCCUUCGGGUUGUAAAGCACUUUCAGUGAGGAGGCGUUACUCGCAGAAGAAGCACCGGCUAACUCCGUGCCAGCAGCCGCGGUAAUAC